rnacentral:rRNA from 1 species
UACGUAGGGGGCAAGCGUUGUCCGGACUUACUGGGCGUAAAGCGCGUGCAGGCGGAUUGGUAUGUGCCGUGUGAAAGCUCUCAGCUUGCCUGGGAGAGGUCGCGGUAGACAGCCGAUCUGGAGGCUCGGAGAGGUCAGUGGAAUUCCCGGUGUAGUGGUGAAAUGCGUAGAUAUCGGGAGGAACACCAGUGGCGCAAGCGGCUGACUG